GACGAACGCUGGCGGCGUGCUUAACACAUGCAAGUCGAACGGUAAGGCCCUUCGGGGUACACGAGUGGCGAACGGGUGAGUAACACGUGGGUGAUCUGCCCUGCACUUCGGGAUAAGCCUGGGAAACUGGGCCUAUUACCGGAUAGGACCACUGCAUGCAUGGGGAGUGGUGGAGAGCGUUUGCGGUGUGGGAUGGGCCCGCGGACUAUCAGCUUGUUGGUGGGGUGAUGGCCUACCAAGGCGACGACCGGUAGCCGGCCUGAGAGGGUGACCGGCCACACUGGGACUGGGAUACGGCCCAGACUCCUACGGGAGGCAGCAGUGGGGAAUAUUGCACAAUGGGCGCAAGCCUGAUGCAGCGACGCCGCGUGAGGGAUGACGGCCUUCGGGUUGUAAACCUCUUUCAGCACCGACGAAGCGCAAGUGACGGUAGGUGCAGAAGAAGGACCGGCCAACUACGUGCCAGCCGCCGCAGUAA
rnacentral:rRNA from 1 species